rnacentral:rRNA from 1 species
GAUGAACGCUAGCGGGAGGCCUAACACAUGCAAGCCGAGCGGUAUUGCUUCUUCGGAAAUGAGAGAGCGGCGUACGGGUGCGUAACACGUGUGCAACCUGCCUUUAUCUGGGGGAUAGCCUUUCGAAAGGAAGAUUAAUACUCCAUAAUAUAUUGAACGGCAUCGAGUAAUAUUGAAAGGUCCGGCGGAUAGAGAUGGGACCGAGAAAGAUUAGCGAGUUGGUGAGGGAAGGGGUCACCAAUGCGAGGAGCUUUAGGGGGACUCGGAGGGCGAUCCCCCACACUGGUACUGAGACACGGACCAGACUCCUGCGGGAGGCAGCAGUUAGGAAUAUUGGUCAAUGGGUGCAAGCCUGAACCAGCCAUCCCGCGUGAAGAACGACUGGCCUAUGGGUUGUAAACUUCUUUUGUAUAGGGAUAAACCUACCCUCUUGAGGGUAGCUGAAGGUACUAUACGAAUAAGCACCGGCUAACUCCGUGCCAGCCGCCGCCGUAA